rnacentral:pre_miRNA from 1 species
AAUCCCAAUUUGGAGUUCUCAUCACACAAUUCUGAAAGGAUAUGAUGGCAAACCUCUGCUGCUAGUUCAUGGAUACCUCUGGUUUCGUAACAACAUACGUUCGAAGUCAAAGGUUUGCAUGAAUUGGGAGAUGAGUUUACCUUGAUCUUUUUGUAUUGCAGUGAAGGGAGCUCCAGAGGGGGUCUUU